AGAAAUCCUGAGAGAUUUUCAAGAAGCUAGAAGUUAAGACAUCUUUGGUCUUUGUAUGUGAAGGAAAAACUUGAAUCUUAUUCCUUUCGAUCUAGAGAUAGAAAGAACUUUUAAAAGAUUUUGAAGGGAAAAUUUGCAAGUUCAAAAUCUAUACCAAAUAAUGGAUGAAAAUAAUAAUAAUCAUGGUAACAAGUAGAACUUUGAUUUUAGUUGUGAUUUCUUGAGAAAAUGAGUUGGUAAUUGUGUGAGAAUGUUUGUGGCAGCAAAGGUCCUCAAAGAUUUGAAAGAAAUAGAUGCAUGCAUGUGGGUCAAUCUUGGAAUGCAUGGUGAUUUUGGAGCUAGAUAAGCAAUAGGUACGUAUUUUAGACUUGAAAUCACAUAUAGAUAAGUAAAAUGAGAUGUGCUCUAAUUGUUUAUGCUUGUGGCAACAAUGGUGACCGAGAAUGUGAGGAAUGGUGGAUUAUAUAUGGAGCUCAAGCUAAAACCGAAAGAUAGUGAUUGACCUAGCAUGCAAUCAUCGGCACUUAUGGUCCACUGUGAAUAGGUUAAGGUAUCUCAUAACAUUUUCUUCUGAGUCACUCCGCUGCUAGAGGUCGAGUCCUACAUAGCAUAAUUUGAUUAUAAAUAGUGUUAAUGUAAAUGUAUGGUUGGAUAUUAAAGACCUUGAUGUACUUUUACAAUUAUGUUGAAUAAAAGUUGAGUUGAUUUAUUA